rnacentral:rRNA from 1 species
UACGAAGGGGGCUAGCGUUGUUCGGAAUCACUGGGCGUAAAGGGCGCGUAGGCGGCUUUAUAAGUCGGGGGUGAAAGCCUGUGGCUCAACCACAGAAUUGCCUUCGAUACUGUAGAGCUUGAGACCGGAAGAGGUAAGUGGAACUGCGAGUGUAGAGGUGAAAUUCGUAGAUAUUCGCAAGAACACCAGUGGCGAAGGCGACUUACUGGACACAUAUUGACGCUGAGGUGCGAAAGCGUGGGGAGCAAACAGG